UACGUAGGGUGCGAGCGUUAAUCGGAAUUACUGGGCGUAAAGCGUGCGCAGGCGGUUCGUUGUGUCUGAUGUGAAAGCCCCGGGCUUAACCUGGGAAUGGCAUUGGAAACUGGCGAGCUGGAGUGUGGCAGAGGGGGGUGGAAUUCCGCGUGUAGCAGUGAAAUGCGUAGAUAUGCGGAGGAACACCGAUGGCGAAGGCAAUCCCCUGGGCCUGCACUGACGCUCAUGCACGAAAGCGUGGGGAGCAAACAGG
rnacentral:rRNA from 1 species